rnacentral:ncRNA from 1 species
AUAGUAAUCCUGCUCAGUAAGAGAGGAACCGCAGGUUCAGACAUUUGGUGUAUGUGUUGGCUGAGGGGCCAAAGGGGAGAAGCUACCAUCUGUGGGAUUAUGACUGAACGCCUCUCCAAUUGCUUGUCAAAUCUUGCUGAUUU